AACUUUUGGCAAUGGAUCACUUGGUUCUCGCAUCGAUGAAGAACGCAGCGAAAUGCGAUGAGUAAUGUGAAUUGCAGAAUUCAGUGAAUCAUCGAAUCUUUGAACGCAACUUGCGCUCCUUGGUACUCUGAGGAGCAUGCCUGUUUGAGUGUCAUUUGAAGUUCUCAACCACAUCCAGAAAUGUGAUGUGGCUUGGACUUGGGGGUCUCUUUUUUGCAGGCUUUCCGAAAGGAAGGUCGGCUCCCCUGAAACGUAUUAGUGGCAUCUGAGCUGCUGCUAUUAGGUGUGAUAAUUAUCUAUGCCUUUGGUAUGCUGCAUGAACAGGUUGCGCUGCUUAUAACAUAAAUUUGACGAAUCUGACCUCAAAUCAGGUAGGACUACCCGCUGAACUUAAGCAUAUCAAUAAGCGGAGGCU
rnacentral:misc_RNA from 1 species